rnacentral:lncRNA from 1 species
AUGUCAUCAUUCUUCAUCAUUCACUAUGUCCAGAAUUCUUUUUCAUCGAGUUGUGCUGGUGAGGAGAACUAUGUGGACAGCCGGACGGUCUACAUCGGACACAAGGAGCCUCCCCCCGGAGCCGAUGCCUUCAUUCAGCAGAGAUUUCCCGACAACAGAAUAGUUUCCUGCAAGUACACGUUUUGGAACUUCAUCCCCAAGAACAUGUUCGAGCAGUUCCGGCGAGUCGCCAACUUUUACUUCCUCAUCAUUUUCCUGGUUCAGUUGAUUAUCGACACACCCACAAGUCCGGUCACGAGCGGUCUGCCUCUGUUCUUUGUCAUCACAGUCACAGCCAUUAAACAGGGGUACGAGGACUGGCUGAGGCACAAAGCGGACAAAGCUGUCAACCAGUGUCUGGUCACCGUGGUCCAGCGCGGGAAGAAGAUCAGCAAAGAGAGCUGCAGACUCACGGUUGGAGAUGUGGUCUAUGUGAAGGAAGACGAGACUUUUCCGUGCGACCUCAUCCUCCUCUCUUCAUCUCGAGAUGAUGGAACGUGCUACGUUACCACAGCCAGCUUGGAUGGAGAGAGCAGCCACAAGACCUAUUACGCCGUCCAGGACACCAAAGCCUUCACCACCGAGGAGGAGGUGGACUCCAUCCACGCCACCAUCGAAUGUGAACAACCGCAGCCGGACCUGUACAAAUUUGUCGGCCGCAUCAACAUCUAUACGGACAACGAGUCGGUUGCUAGGCCGCUGGGGUCGGAGAACGUCCUGCUCCGAGGAGCCACGCUCAAAAAUACCAAGUACAUCUAUGCUGUUGCCAUCUACACGGGAAUGGAAACCAAGAUGGCUCUCAACUACCAGUCCAAGUCCCAAAAACGAUCCGCCGUGGAAAAGUCCAUGAACUCCUACCUGGUGGUGUACCUGUGCAUCCUCAUCAGCAAAGCGCUCAUCAACACGGUGCUGAAGUACAUCUGGCAGGCUGACCCCAACAGAGACGAGCCCUGGUACAACGACAGGACGGAGACGGAGAGGCAAAGACACAUCGUGAGGGCCUUCACCGACUUCCUGGCCUUCAUGGUCCUGUUCAACUACAUCAUUCCCGUCUCCAUGUACGUCACGGUGGAGAUGCAGAAGUUCCUGGGCUCCUACUUCAUCAUGUGGGACGACGACAUGCACGAGGAGGAGCUGGGCGAGAGGGCCGUGGUCAACACGUCUGACCUGAACGAGGAGCUGGGGCAGGUGGAGUACGUCUUUACGGACAAGACGGGGACUCUGACGGAGAACAACAUGGAGUUCAUAGAGUGCUGCGUGGACGGACAGAUCUACGACGCUGACGCCAUCUGUAACGGACAGCGGAAGGAGCUGUUUUUCCGGGCCUUGUGUUUGUGCCACACGGUGCAGGUGAAGGAGGAGGAGACGGUGGACGGGAUCAAACAUGGCAUCCACCAGGGAAAGCCCUCCUCCUUCUACAUCUCCUCGUCGCCGGAUGAAGUCGCUCUAGUGGAGGGCAUGAAGAAGCUUGGUUAUACCUAUCUGAGGCUCAAAGACGGUCACAUGGAGAUCUUAAAUAAGGAGGACGAGAUUGAGAGGUUUGAACUUCUGGAGGUUUUGUCGUUCGACUCGGUCCGGAGGAGGAUGAGCGUCAUCGUCAGAGCCUGCUCCGGUGACAUCUACCUGUUCUGCAAGGGCGCCGACUCCUCCAUCCUCCCCAGAGUGGUCUCAGGAAAGGUGGCUGAGGUGAAAGCUCGAGUGGAACACAACGCCGUGGAUGGCCUGAGGACUCUGUGUGUGGCCUAUCGGCCGCUGGCAGCCAGCAGAAAUACGGCACAUUUUAUUAGAAUAAAAAGUGAUUUAAAACGUGUUUUAUCUUGGUUUUUCAGGCUGCAGGACAAAGCGGCAGAUACCAUCGAGUCUCUCCACAAAGCGGGAAUGAAGGUGUGGGUUUUGACCGGAGACAAGAUGGAGACGGCGGCCGCCACCUGCUACGCCAGCAAGCUGUUCCGCCGCGGCACCCACAUCCUGGAGCUGACCACCAAACGGGUGGAGGAGCAGAACCUCCACGAUGUCCUGUUUGAACUGAGCAGGACGGUCCUCCGGCCCCCUGGGAGCAUGACUUUGUCGACUGACUGCACCGACUACGGGCUGAUCAUCGAUGGAGCCACCCUCUCUGCAGUCAUGAGUUACAAAGAGAUCUUUCUGGAAAUCUGUCGUAACUGCAGCGCCGUGCUCUGCUGUCGAAUGGCGCCGCUGCAGAAAGCUCAGAUUGUGAAAAUGAUUAAAACUUCCAAAGAGCAUCCGAUCACGCUGGCCAUCGGAGACGGCGCCAAUGAUGUCAGCAUGAUCCUGGAGGCCCACGUCGGCAUCGGCAUCAUGGGUAAAGAGGGGCGUCAGGCUGUGAGGAACAGCGACUACGCCAUCCCCAAGUUUAAGCACCUGAAGAAGAUGCUGCUCGUCCACGGACAUUAUUACUACAUCCGCAUCUCGGAGCUGGUUCAGUACUUCUUCUACAAGAAUGUUUGCUUCAUCUUCCCACAGUUCCUCUACCAGUUCUUCUGCGGCUUCUCCCAGCAGCCGCUGUACGACACCGCCUACCUGACGCUCUACAACAUCAGCUUCACGUCGCUGCCCAUCCUGGUGUACAGCCUGAUGGAGCAGCACAUCAACAUGGACAUCCUGAAGAAGGACCCCUCCCUCUAUAAAGAUAUUGCCAAGAACUCGUUGCUGAGAUGGCCCACCUUCAUAUACUGGACCGUUCUGGGGGUCUACGACGCCAUCGUCAUGUUUUUCGGCGCCUACUUCCUGUUCGAUAACACCACCUUCACCAGCAACGGACAGAUGUUUGGGAACUGGACGUUUGGGACGCUGGUCUUCACCGUGCUGGUCUUCACCGUCACCUUCAAGCUGGUCCUGGACACGCAUUACUGGACGUGGAUCAACCACUUCGUCAUCUGGGGGUCGCUGGUGUUCUUCGUGCUCUUCUCUCUGCUGUGGGGUGGAAUCAUCUGGCCGUUCCUCAACUACCAGAGGAUGUAUUACGUCUUCAUGCAGAUGCUGUCCAGCGGCCCGGCCUGGCUCAGCAUCAUCCUCCUCAUCACCGCCGGCCUGCUGCCAGACGUGGUGAAGAAGGUCAUCUGGAGGGCCAUAAACGAAGGAAAUCAAAAAUGUAGAAGAAGAUACGACUUCAGAAAAAACGACAAUUAA